UAAGGAAUUUUCGGCAAUGGGGGAAACCCUGACCGAGCAACGCCGCGUGAGUGAUGAAGGCCUUUGGGUUGUAAAGCUCUGUUGUAAAGGAAGAAUAUGUAAGAGUGGAAAGUUCACACUGUGACGGUAGCUUACCAGAAAGGGACGGCUAACUACGUGCC
rnacentral:rRNA from 1 species